GCGGGAGUAGCUCAAUUGGUAGAGCGUCUGCUUCCCAAGCAGAAGGCAGCGAGAUCAUAGCUCGUCUCCCGCU
rnacentral:tRNA from 2 species